rnacentral:rRNA from 1 species
GACGAACGCUGGCGGCGUGCUUAACACAUGCAAGUCGAACGGAAAGGCCCUGCUUUUGUGGGGUGCUCGAGUGGCGAACGGGUGAGUAACACGUGAGUAACCUGCCCUUGACUUUGGGAUAACUUCAGGAAACUGGGGCUAAUACCGGAUAGGAGCUCCUGCUGCAUGGUGGGGGUUGGAAAGUUUCGGCGGUUGGGAUGGACUCGCGGCUUAUCAGCUUGUUGGUGGGGUAGUGGCUUACCAAGGCUUUGACGGGUAGCCGGCCUGAGAGGGUGACCGGCCACAUUGGGACUGAGAUACGGCCCAGACUCCUACGGGAGGCAGCAGUGGGGAAUAUUGCACAAUGGGCGGAGGCCUGAUGCAGCAACGCCGCGUGCGGGAUGACGGCCUUCGGGUUGUAAACCGCUUUCGCCUGUGACGAAGCGUGAGUGACGGUAAUGGGUAAAGAAGCACCGGCUAACUACGUG